GAUGAAGAACGCAGCGAAAUGCGAUAAGUAAUGUGAAUUGCAGAAUUCAGUGAAUCAUCGAAUCUUUGAACGCACCUUGCGCUCCUUGGUAUUCCGAGGAGCAUGCCUGUUUGAGUGUCAUUAAAUUCUCAACCUUAUUGGCUUUUGCUGAUAAUGGCUUGGACUUGGGGGUCUUUUUGCUGGCUUUCAUUAGUCUGCUCCCCUUAAAUGUAUUAGCCGGUGCCCCGCAGUGGAACCGUCUAUUGGUGUGAUAAUUAUCUACGCCGUGGACGUCUGCUAUAAUGGGUUUGCGCUGCUUCUAACCGUCUCUCGGGACAACACAAAUGACAAUUUGACCUCAAAUCAGGUAGGACUACCCGCUGAACUUAAGCAUAUCAAUAGCGGAGGA
rnacentral:misc_RNA from 1 species